rnacentral:lncRNA from 1 species
CGGGAACCUAUGGCUUCAGGCUUCAUACAAGUAACCAUACUAGUAUGAAGGGAGAAGAAGUGUCCAAGUCGGAGGUGAUUGUCAUUGCCUCUCGUAGCAGCAAGACGGACGGAAUGUCAAUUUUAACGCUCAAGGAUGAAACUGAAAUCACAAUCCCUGAAAAAAUGUGGAAUCCGUUUGAUGAUCUUCUGGACCGGAGCCCAGUAACAGUCGUUAUUGUCACAAAGGAAGGGGAAAUCAUCGACGCUACUGUUAUGGAUGAAGAUCAGGAGGAAUAAAACCACACACACACACACACACACACACACACACACACACACACACACACACACACACACACACACACACAGUUAUUGUUAAUAAGUUAUUUGUUGAUGUUGUUAUAGUGCAUUCAAUUUGAAAACAUGUUAAUGUAUUUGAAAUAAAUGUCCUGUGUGACACA